rnacentral:rRNA from 1 species
GACGUUACUCGCAGAAUAAGCACCGGCUAACUCUGUGCCAGCAGCCGCGGUAAUACAGAGGGUGCGAGCGUUAAUCGGAUUUACUGGGCGUAAAGCGUACGUAGGCGGCUUUUUAAGUCGGAUGUGAAAUCCCUGAGCUCUAACUUAGGAAUUGCAUUCGAUACUGGGAAGCUAGAGUAUGGGAGAGGAUGGUAGAAUUCCAGGUGUAGCGGUGAAAUGCGUAGAGAUCUGGAGGAAUACCGAUGGCGAAGGCAGCCAUCUGGCCUAAUACUGACGCUGAGGUACGAAAGCAUGGGGAGCAAACAGGAUUAGAUACCCUGGUAGUCCAUGCCGUAUACGAUGUCUACUAGCCGUUGGGGCCUUUGAGGCUUUAGUGGCGCAGAUAACGCGAUAAGUAGACCGCCUGGGGAGUACGGUCGCAAGA